ensembl:lncRNA
UGACGUGUAACAGAGACAUGUAACAGAUGUAAACAACCUCUCCCCCGUGACUUGUAUGUACUGACGUGUAACAGAUACAUGUAACAGAUGUAAACAACCUCUCCCCCGUGACUUGUAUGUACUGACAUGUAACAGAUGUAAACAACCUCUCCCCCGUGACUUGUAUGUACUGACAUGUAACAGAUACAUGUUUUUUUAAAUGUAAAUGUUAAAGUCUUAUGUAAUCUCAUGUGUCGGACCCCAGUAAGACUAGCUGUCAUUGGCUAAUGGAGGAUCCUAAUAAAUCAGGACUAGUCCCAGUUUUUCCAUCUGGGCUACACUUUGAGCCAAUCAUAUUUUAAAGGGGCCAUCAGUCACAACAUCCAUUUUACUUAUGCACCCAUUGAUUCUUGAAGAAUGACUUAUGGUCUUAGUACAACUAUCAUACCCUGGCAGAACCCAAAAUAUAAUGAAAAGUAAAACACGUACACCAACAGUUAAAACUAUUAUUUAUACAUCAUGAUCCCCCCCUACCCUCCGUAUGAAUAAGGGGUUCCUGUCGCCAGCCACAUCCCUCAGCUUUUGACCGAAUCAGGUGUGGAGGACACGGUUUCUACUGCUGAUUGCAACUAAUGGCCUCUGAACAAUAUUUUACAACUCAGAGCCAGACGACUAGUGGGAAAACAAAGGUCAUAAUGUAGAGAAAAUGUAAUGAUUGUUAUAGCACAGUAAAAUAAAGAUGCUUAAGACAUUGGUUUUAGUAGUCAUUUUGUGCAAUAGCAAACAUCAAUGCACUUUGUGUAAGCUUUUGUUGUAGGGCAG